rnacentral:rRNA from 1 species
AGAACGAACGCUGGCGGAGUGCUUAAGACAUGCAAGUCGUACGAGAACGUCACCUUCGGGUGAUUAGUAAAGUGGCGCACGGGUGAGUAACGCGUGGGUAAUCUGCCCUCGAGUUUGGGACAACCCCGGGAAACUGGAGCUAAUACCAAAUAAGACCACGAGGCUUUCGGGCCAUGUGGGAAAAGGUGGCCUCUUCUUGAAAGCUACCGCUCGGAGAUGAGCCCGCGUCGCAUUAGCUAGUUGGUGAGGUAACGGCUCACCAAGGCGACGAUGCGUAGCUGGUCUGAGAGGAUGAUCAGCCACACUGGAACUGAGACACGGUCCAGACUCCUACGGGAGGCAGCAGUCGGGAAUAUUGGACAAUGGGCGCAAGCCUGAUCCAGCAACUCCGCGUGAGGGAUGAAGGCCCUCGGGUCGUAAACCUCUGUCAGAAGGGAAGAAGGCUGUUGUGAGAAUAUUGCAGCAGCUUGACGGUACCUUCAAAGGAAGCACCGGCUAACUCCGUGCCAGCAGCCGCGGUAAUACGGAGGGUGCAAGCGUUGUUCGGAAUUAUUGGGCGUAAAGCGGGUGUAGGCGGCUUGGUAAGUCGGGUGUGAAAUCCCUGGGCCCAACCCAGGAACUGCAUUCGAAACUGCCUCGCUAGAGUCCCGGAGAGGAUGGCGGAAUUCCAGGUGUAGAGGUGAAAUUCGUAGAUAUCUGGAGGAACACCAGUGGCGAAGGCGGCCAUCUGGACGGUGACUGACGCUCAGACCCGAAAGCGUGGGGAGCGAACAGGAUUAGAUACCCUGGUAGUCCACGCCGUAAACGUUGGGUGCUCGUCGUCGCGGGUAUUGACCCCUGCGGUGACCAAGUUAACGCAAGAAGCACCCCGCCUGGGAAGUACGGUCGCAAGACUA